GUCGGAGUGGUGGAAUGGUAGACACACGGGCCUUAAGAGCCCGCGAUGCUAAUACAUCGUGGAGGUUCGAGUCCUCUCUCCGACA
rnacentral:tRNA from 6 species